rnacentral:rRNA from 1 species
ACGGGGGUUGCAAGCGUUGUCCGGAUUUAUUGGGCUUAAAGGGUAGGUAGGCGGCUCUAUAAGUUUGUUGUGAAAUCCUGCAGCUCACCUGUAGAACAGCAAUUGAAACUGAAGAGCUGGAGUACUCUUGAGGUAGGCGGAAUGUGUAGUGUAGCGUUGAAAUGCUUAGAGAUUACGCGGAACACCGAUUGCGAAGGCAGCUUACUAAGGAUUUACUGACGCUAAUCUGCGAAAGCGUGUGUAUCAAACAG